CAUCAUCCAGCACAGCGCACCACCGCCGCGACUACCCCACCGCUGCCAGCAAUAACCACCGGAACGGCGAGAGGUCGGUGGUGGCGAGGCGGUCGCCCGCUGCAGUCUCGCAAGAAGGCUUGGGCCUCCUACUGCCACCCGACGCUGGUCCUCCGAUCCUUAAAGGCGUCCAGUCGAAGCGGUGUGCCGAGAUGUCGGGGAUAGAAGAUCCGCAGGACGCGUCGGAGCAGGAUGACACUCAGGAGGAGGCAACAGAGACAGCAGAGGACAGCAACGAGGUAGCGAGCUCGACAGAGGAAUCAGAUAGCCCGGACUUGUCGGAAAAGUUACCAACGAAGAACUCGAAAGAAGAACGAGAGAAACUUCAGGAAGAAAAACAGGAAGAAAUCGUAAAAGUGCAAGAGGAGAUUAAAGAGGAGGAACAAGAGUCGCCAAGUCGCGAGAAGACACAAGAAGAAGAAACGUCAGAUUCAGAGCUGGCGACCAUUACAAGAAGCACGUCGUCGGACGACGGCGUGCCGGCACCAGUGUCGGGGAUCGCCGCGUACGAGGCGAAGCAAGCGGAGCCCAGACAGGAGUCGAGGACGGGCGUCGUACGAUCGGCGACCGUCGACGACGGGAACGGGCGUCGCACCAGCAGUGGUCCCAGCGCAGCAGUUGGUGAGUGGAAUUCAUUGCCGGUACUGGUAGAACGUCUACGCGAGGCACUCGAGUUGUCCCUGGCGGCCGGUUGCCGACGUGGCAGCGGCGACGAGCCGACGGCGACGUCGCUCGCCGAGACCGGUGUCGGCGUCGCCGAUAGUGGCGGUGACCGAUCUCGCCCGUACCGCCGUUCUUUGGAACGGGCGUUGCUCCACGGCUGCGACCACGACGAUCCCGUGCCAAAGAAAGAAGAGCUCAAGUUCCUGGAGGAUCUGCUGCUGUCCGACAUCCAGACCGCGCUCGCACGUCUGCGCGAGACAUUGGAGCAUACGGAUGUCGCGACGCUUGCCAAGCACGGCGGAGUAUCAGAUCCCUCGAGCAAGUUACACCUGUUGCGACUAGUGUCUAGUCUGCUGUCGCGGCUGCAGGUGCCGGAGCAAGUGCGGGAGGCGGCCGACGAUGAUAACAAGACUGUCGACGUCGCGGCGCAAGGUUUAGACGCAUCGUUCGCGCGAAAACGACGGCCCGUCAGGCACACCAUCGGCGUCUCCGCCGAGGAGCUCGCACGCGCGAGAAAGCAGCUGGAGGAGAGCAGCGUGGACCUCGCGAGGCUAAACGACCAGGUUUUUUCCCAACGACGGGAACCGUUGCUCGCCGCAUCGUAUAACGCGACUAACGGCGAGAGGCACGUGGAGGAGAUCCGCGACAAGUACACGAAAGACGUGAUCAAUCAACGUCAGUCGUUGCGCGACAAGAACAAGGACCCGCGCGGGGAUACCGUUGGUGCGUAUCGAGCCGCGCUGGUUCCGCCGCAGAUCGGUUACACGGAUUGUCCGCCACGACGUCGCGGCAGCGUCGAUAGUUAUCAGGAGAAAGAGAGUGACGACGAGGAGACAGCGAGAAAGGCGAACGAAGAACAGAAUCGGGUGACGAAGCUUGCAGCGGUGCUGCGACAACGCGCGGAACUGCUCAGCGCGGGCAAGUGCGGAACCGCAAACGGCAACAGGUUCUCAGCAAAGAAGUCGAAGAUCAAGCGCGCCAACACCGUCGACAUACCGAGUUACCUAAAAUUGCAGGCUGAGAGUCUUGGUUCUUACGACAAUCCCUGCGUUCUGCUGCGACGCCCUAUUAACGUGGGCGACAAAGUCAAUCCCAACUCAGCCAGCCUCGCAGUGGUGCCGUCCUUCGAACCCAAAACGGAGAACGACAAGAAGUUCCUGGCGUUGAUCAGUCGCAACAACGAGACGCAGCCACUUAACGCCACGCCCGCCUUUGUCAAGUCAUUUGGUUACACUAAGACGAUGGACAUGUCAUCGCUGACGAACGAGAACUGGAACAGUCGAUUCUCCAACAUCAAGACCGCUUUUGACAAGCCGUCCAUCGCGACGAACGAUGGGGACAAGCUCAUUCCCAAGUCGCCCCAGCCCGCGAAACGUCUGCCAACCACGCCUCAAACGUCACCUCAGACGGUGAACAACAAGAAGACAAUUGGCGCCGCACACAACGGCUUUCCGUUCGCGAACCCGAACGCGUCGAAGUCGGACGCGGGUUUCAGACACGCACCCUCGUCGCUGUUCCGGAAGAUCGAGAAGCCGCAGUCAUCGAAGUCGCCGUCCAGUUGUCAUUGGCAGCGAGAUAACAAUGUGCAAUCAUCCGGAAUUACAUUGCGCGAGAAGGCCAAAAUUAUGUUCGAUCGAGACAGUAAUCCUCAAUUCCAACCCGGCGCGUCGAAGUUCCACGCGAGUGAGCACUCGCAAAAGUCCACUUUUCCGCGGCCGCCAUGGAUCGAACACGAGAGAAACGAAGGUAAAUCGGGCAACAUGGUCACCGAAAACGGACGACUGGAUUAUCGGUUGUUCUGCAAGCAGUUCGCGCCUUUUAUCGGUAAGGGCAACGUCACUACGGAUCACGCGAAGCCACAGAACAUCGAGGAAUCCCGCAAGCGCGACAAGCAACAGCCGGUUGCACGUUGCAAGGAUUUCGCACCGUCGAAUGAGAGACUCGGCAUAGUAGACGGGAAGAUUUCGUUUCGAAUGUUUCCCGAGAAGCGACCGCAACAGCAAGUGCAACAGUACCGUCCGAGUGAGCCUCAUCGCGAAGAACCAAUUCGCGACAAGUUUGAUCCUCGCAGCGAGAAGGAUAUUUUCGUGCCAAGCGUAAUGCGCAACGAUAAAAAUUCGGCAAUUUUGGUCGAUGCGACGCUCAAGGGUAGUUCAUCCGUGGCCAUUCAGACAGGUGUCAACAGUGAUGAUCAUCUGGAGGAAGCGCGGGUGUUCCGAGUGGCUCCUAGGGCGCCGAGAGGUCCGCCGUCCACGUACAACAAUGCGUCCGUCCAAACUCAGAACGAGCCAGAAGCGGAACCAUGGAUGGUGUCUCGAUACGAAGACAAUCCGACGUCAAGCUCGAGCCAUCAUCCGGCCGAGGAUCCGAGGCACUUUGUCCUGGACCACAAUCAGAACUAUCACACCGUGGUGAGUAACGUCGCCCCGCAGAGUGAGAUCUCGCCCUUGCUGGAUAAAAACGCAUGCAAUCUCGUCAGAGAUAGUUCCACUUGCGCAUCAAACCCGAUGGAGAACGUUUCUUCUCGGGCGACUUGCGGCUAUCACUCGCCAGAGCAGAGCAAGCAGAUUUUCCAAGCAACUCCGCAGUACGAAAAUUAUGUUCCACCUAAACCACCGUCCGAUGAUCGAUCACAGAUGUACGCGAGUUAUGUGCCAUACGUUGAAUCCAUCAAGAGUGAAGAUCGGGUGUUAGAUAUGUCAGAAAUUGAUAGGGGAGAUUUGUCGCGACCAAGCGACGACGUUCUGCCGAGUGAGCGGCACAUUCAAAAUCAAGAUAUUAGCGCGGAUGCCGGCGUCGUCACGCGGUAUACUUGUGCGAUUGCAACUGUCGCGUCGACGGAUAUUCCGGAGGCACGAUCCGAACCGACAACAGCACCGGAGUCCGAAGCAUCAUCCUCUUCGUCACCUUCGCAUCUCUGGCCGCGUCCAAGCGUCGAAGUCACUACGACCGAAGACGAGGUACGUCGGCACAACAUGCUUCAACAGAGCCUGGUGCGUCGGCUACAGAACGAGCGUACAAUGUUGAACGAAUAUCGUCCACCGAUCCCCGUUCAAUCCGACAACCUAAACCAACCUAGCAACUUUAAUCGGUCCAAGGUCUUUAACCAACCUAGGAAUUUCAAUCAGCCCAGCAAUUUUAAUCAGCCUCCGAAGUUCCAACCGCCCGUGGCACCGAAAAGACUGGAAGCGCCGAGGAAACUGGAACCACCGAAGAUAGUAGAGCCGAUCAGGAAGGUGAAACCGCCCGCUGUCAUUGGUUUGUUAUCAGUGGCACCGUCCUCGGGAUUUAGCGCGACGAACCGGGUCACCGCCCUCAGGGAACAGUACGAGCAACCGAGCGAUCAAACGAAAUCACCCGUUCACAAGGAACGCUCGCCGAUACCGAACGGCGUGAGCAGCUCGAUGGACUCCAGCGAUGAGUACCUGGUAAACUGCGUUAAUAAACCGUCCAGAUCUAUCGUUUUGUCAAAGUCCGAGUCGUGGCAUCAGCUGGCACUCUCCGGCAGCCAGCAAUCCUCGUCGCGCGCGUUACACGGCGGUUUACCACCGCCGUACCAUCCUAGCUCGUCCCAUCUACUGAAACCGCCCAAGCCAAAGUCGCCGUCGUCCUUUAAAAUGAAGAAGCAGUAUGAGGCAUCCUCGUCGUCGGACAGCGUGAAGCGAAUGGAGGACAAGAUACGCAGGUACUUCGACAAUCCGACGGCAGGUGAUAGCGCUGUGGACGCGCGGGACUCCAAGAACAGACGAUUCUCGUCGCGCGAUUCGGCGAAGAGAAGCCUGAUUGGAUUGUCCAGGAGCCGCACGUUGCCAGGGGUGUGCGACGAGCGACUACGUCUCACGAUCCCAGCGUCGCCGCAGAUUCCCGCGGGGAAUCUCAACACGGCUGAGGUGGAGAAGGUGUUCGACGACAUUUUUGAAGAGGCCACCAAGGCCGACGAUCAUCGCUUUUGAAAUCGCUUCGCCUCGUCGUAAAUCCGGCCGCGAUGUGCACGAGGGACUGGUCGCGAUUAAAACGAAGUCACGUCUGUCCGGAACUCUCGUACUCUUUAUGCAAAUUGGCGAUUAACGGUCACGGCACGUGCUCAGACAUCGUGAGAAACGUGAGAGAACUCAUUUAUGAUCAUCCCUUAUAAUUUCAUUCACAGACAAGCUCGCUGCGCUAUGACGAUGUGGAGAACGUUAAACUGUGAUUCUGCUGAAUUGAUUCGCGUCGUUUGCCCUCGACGGCUACAAUCCGGGACAUUAUCGUGCUAAUUAACUAAUUUGUUGGUCGGUUAAUUCUAAUCAGACUGUUCGUACCAGGAAUGUAUAUACGUUGCGUCGAUUACUCGUCUCAUGCUUCCCUUCUAAAGAGAUUCAAAAAGCUAAAGUUUCAUUAUUUCUCUAUUUUUUUUUCCUUACUGAGCUAACUUGACUAGUGUUUAACUAGCUUACAGUAAAGAUUUGUCGUAAAGAGUGAACGCAGUAUUAUCUGAUUGCAUUUUUGUUCACACGUUGCCAAUUUUACUAGAAUCUACAAUUUAAUUAUCGUCCGCUCUUGUGGAUUCUUAUGAAUAAUUGGAGAAGUCAACAAUGUUAAUUUAUGCGCAAUUAUGGUCGCUUAUUGUGAGAUCGAGAUGUAGAUAUAAUUUCAGAACGGUCGUGUGCAAUUGUCCGUUUUUACAAUUAUAAAAAUCGUGUUCUGGAUUUGAGAUUCAUAUUAAAGCUCUCUUCGAACGAAUACCGCAAUGCUAUAAGAAGACUA